UGCAGUCGAGCGGAACGAUCCUAGCUUGCUAGGAGGCGUCGAGCGGCGGACGGGUGAGUAAUGCAUAGGAAUCUGCCCGGUAGUGGGGGAUAACUUGAGGAAACUCAAGCUAAUACCGCAUACGCCCUACGGGGGAAAGCAGGGGCUCUUCGGACCUUGCGCUAUCGGAUGAGCUUAUGUCGGAUUAGCUGGUUGGUGAGGUAACGGCUCACCAAGGCGACGAUCCGUAGCUGGUCUGAGAGGAUGAUCAGCCACAUCGGGACUGAGACACGGCCCGAACUCCUACGGGAGGCAGCAGUGGGGAAUAUUGGACAAUGGGGGCAACCCUGAUCCAGCCAUGCCGCGUGUGUGAAGAAGGCCCUCGGGUUGUAAAGCACUUUCAGCGAGGAAGAAUGCUUGUCGGUUAAUACCCGGCAAGGGAGACAUCACUCGCAGAAGAAGCACCGGCUAACUCCGUGCCAGCAGCCGCGGUAAUACGGAGGGUGCGAGCGUUAAUCGGAAUUACUGGGCGUAAAGCGUGCGUAGGCGGCUUGAUAAGCCGGUUGUGAAAGCCCCGGGCUCAACCUGGGAACGGCAUCCGGAACUGUUAGGCUAGAGUGCAGGAGAGGAAGGUAGAAUUCCCGGUGUAGCGGUGAAAUGCGUAGAGAUCGGGAGGAAUACCAGUGGCGAAGGCGGCCUUCUGGACUGACACUGACGCUGAGGUACGAAAGCGUGGGUAGCAAACAGGAUUAGAUACCCUGGUAGUCCACGCCGUAAACGAUGUCGACUAGCCGUUGGGGUCCUCGAGACCUUUGUGGCGCAGUUAACGCACUAAGUCGACCGCCUGGGGAGUACGGCCGCAAGGUUAAAACUCAAAUGAAUUGACGGGGGCCCGCACAAGCGGUGGAGCAUGUGGUUUAAUUCGAUGCAACGCGAAGAACCUUACCUACCCUUGAC
rnacentral:rRNA from 1 species